AAAAGCUUUGUUCUGGCUAAGAAAGGAUUAUAUGCCAACGCUGAUCGUCUUAUCAAAGAUACAAAAUGUUCAUACUGAGUAUAGAGUUUCGUAAUUUAGUCUUCUUUCCUCUUGUAGAUUUUCCUUACUUUUCCCUCUUGGAUUGUUCUACCUUUGCCAUACUCUGUUGAACAUCACUGUUGAAUGCGGAUGAUACCUGAUCACAU
rnacentral:misc_RNA from 1 species